rnacentral:rRNA from 1 species
GAUGAACGCUGGCGGCGUGCCUAAUACAUGCAAGUCGAGCGAACGGACGAGAAGCUUGCUUCUCUGAUGUUAGCGGCGGACGGGUGAGUAACACGUGGAUAACCUACCUAUAAGACUGGGAUAACUUCGGGAAACCGGAGCUAAUACCGGAUAAUAUUUUGAACCGCAUGGUUCAAAAGUGAAAGACGGUCUUGCUGUCGCUUAUAGAUGGAUCCGCGCUGCAUUAGCGAGUUGGUAAGGUAACGGCUUACCAAGGCAACGAUGCAUAGCCGACCUGAGAGGGUGAUCGCCCACACUGGAACUGAGACACGGUCCAGACUCCGACGGGAGGCAGCAGUAGGUACUCUUCCGCAAUGGGCGAAAGCCUGACGGAGCAACGCCGCGUGAGUGAUGAAGGGCUUCGGAUCGUAAAACUCUGUUAUUAGGGAAGAACAUAUGUGUAAGUAACUGUGCACAUCUUGACGGUACCUAAUCAGAAAGCAACGGCUAACUACGUG